CUCAAAGAUUAAGCCAUGCAAGUGGUUAUUAUAACCCGACAGUUUAAAUAAGUGUUACGCGUACACGUACACACGGCAAUACGCAAAUUAACAAAUCAAUGUGAAUUGGCAAUUCACUUAUGCAACUGCAGACAGCUGCUUAAUACAGUCACACUUGUCUUGACUUGGCACCCACACCCACGACUCGCGUAUACAUUACAUACACACACACACACGUAUACGGUGAUAAUAAAUUAUCUACGGAUAACUUAGGGAAAGUUUGGCUAAUACGUACGAGUAUUAAUAAUUACACACACACACACACCAUUAGACACUCAGCACACAAUAGUAAACUUACCAUACGGUAGUUUAAAUGCAACAUGAGAGAUAUUGUGCACGUAUAUUCACUUAUGCUGAGCAGACUUUAACUUCUAGUUGAAGCAUGUCAUACAAGCAUCUACAGCAUCAAGUCACAGGGUUGGCAAGUGUAUUUUUGAACCUUCAAAGCAGUCACGCAUACGGAAGAGUAGUUUCUGAUCCCAUAGAAGGAGCACCGUACAUUGAGAGACCGCUCUUAGUUCUAAGGAACGCAGCAGGCGCGUAAAUUGCCCAAUGAUAGUACCCUACAUAACUUAUAAUAAAACACACGUACCUUGUACACUAUAUACCUUAUAUACUGAGGCAGUGACAAGCUGUAACGGUUGAGUAUUUUAAAUGACGAGUGUCUGGCAUUGCCGCUGUCUUUCGGGAUAGCUUGGUAAUUUAUUUGCCGACACUUUGUGUGCUCAAUUGGAAUGCGGUGAGUUUAAAUAACUCAGAACCUUUGAUUUUAAUAUCAUGUAUCUGAAUUUCAAGUGGAGGGCAAGUCUGGUGCCAGCAGCCGCGGUAAUACCAGCUCCCCUGGCCUAUACAGUCAUUGUUGCGGUUAAGAGGCUCGUAGUUGGAUUGAACUACUAAUAUUAUAUAUACGUAAUUACGCAUACACACACACACGCUCGCGUAUCGUAUAAAUAUUCGACACACACACAACACUGUGAACAAAUCAGAAUGUAUCAAAUAUGUAUUUUACUUAUAAUGCGCAUUGAAUGUCUUAUCAUGGAAUGUUGCCUACAGUAUUUUACACACAUGCGAUACUUACAAAUGUCGAUGGGGAUAGUUGGAGCCAACAGUACUGCUGGGCGAGCGGUGAAAUGCAUUGACCCUAGCAAGACUACCAAAAGCGAAAGCAGUUGGCUAGGCUAUACUCUUUGUGAUUCGAGACACACGCGUAAUACACACACAUACGCGUAUAUAUCUCAAUACACUUUACAAUGAAGAACGAAGGUUGGGGGAUCAAAGAGGAUCAGAUACCCUCGUCGUCCCAUUUUAUACAUCAAACGAUGGGCUCUCAAUUGCAUUUAUUAUUAAUUUUACUAAUAUAUUGCAAAUAAAAUCCUCCUAACCAUUUAAACUAAGCUUGAGUCCUUCAAACGACUCGCCCAUUUAAUACGGUCUCGACGGACGUUUCAUUAUACUACGUAAAAACAACUAUUUUGCGUGUAAGCUACGGUGUAAUUUUAAAAAAUUACCCAAGCGUGCAUUUGAUUUUCGGAGCUUUGCGCUCAAAUUUAAAUAUUUGGUGAGAUGUAAGCAUCAAUCGGUUUUUGUCUACUCNUACUAUACGCUAAGUAUUGGUAUCGCAGUUAGUACAUAACCAUUAAUUAAUACGGUGUGAGGCACGUAUUAGGCACGCGCUUACUGCAGAAAUGUCUGAGAUAUUGCCUCCGGGGGUAGUAUGCACGCAAGUGUGAAACUUGAAGGAAUUGACGGAAGGGCACCACAAGAACGCGUGGAGCAUGUGGCUUAAUUUGACUCAACGCGGGAAAUCUUACCGGGUCCGGACACACUGAGGAUUGACAGACAAUCGUACAUUCAUACAUUCGUGUGUGUUGUACCAAAUAAAGAUGCUAGUUCUUUCAUGAUUAUGUGAUAGGUGGUGCAUGGCCGUUCUUAGUUCGUGGAGUGAUCUGUCUGCUUAAUUGCGUUUCACAAUAAAUACGUAAUAUGUAUUUUACUCGUAUAUAACUUGACCCCACUCUUUCGAGAGUGCGCGUGUCUCGUGAAUACAGUAAUUAUUAUACAUGCGUUAUUAGAAAGCAACGAACGUGACCGUAUCCUUUUGUUAAAAUGUGAUAUAUACAUUUCAAAUAUACAUACUUACGUGUGUAUAAUUAAACUAAAGGGACCGCUGUUUCUUUCUUAAACCAGAGGAAGGUUACGGCAAUAACAGGUCUGUGAUGCCCUUAGAUGUUCCGGGCUGCACACGUGCUACAAUGAUUAUUGCAGUAAGUAUCUGUUAAUAAGAGUACACGUAUCACACAUGCGCUUCGGCGUAUGUAGUGCACGUCUCAAAAUCCUACCUCGAAAGUUCGGUGGGUAAUCAAUUAGAAGUAAUGAUUUCCUUUAAUAAUUUUGUACAAAAAUAUACAGCGUAUUCGUAUCCCAUUUUACCUUCGAGUAUUAUGCGUGUGUACGAUACGUAUAUACCCUUUUAAUUGGGUCAUAUUAUCUGUAUGUACAGCUGUCAAUUCAUGGUGGGGACAGACCAUUGUUAAUUGUUGGUCUCGGUCUUAACUAGGAAUGCCUUGUACGGGUCUUUGGUUCAUCAAACCACCCGGAAUACGUCCCUGCCCUUUGUACACACCGCCCGUCGCUCUUACCGAUGAACUUUACUAUGAAUUUGAGGGAUUUUCCUUGGAAAAAAACUUAAAUGAAUAGUGUGGUUUAAAGGAAAGAGAAGUCGUAACAAGGCAUCAGUAGGUGAACCU
rnacentral:rRNA from 1 species